rnacentral:lncRNA from 1 species
GUCCCAGGUUUGGAAAGGAGCGUGAGGGAGCUUCCAUGGCCAGUGCACAGGCUCACCUGCGGUGAUGCCAGCUUGCUCACCUGGCCAGGUGCCAUUCGUCUUCCAAUGGCCUGCCCAGGGCGCCCCUCGCAGUACUCCAGCUACCAGCAAGGACAAGGCCAGCAGUAUGGAAGCUACAGAGCGUCGCAGUCGGGACCCUCUGCCCAGCAGCAGCGCCCUACGGUUAUGAGCAGGGCCAGUAUGGAAAUUACCAGCAAUAAGGGACAAGCAUUCUUGUUGGAGCCCUUGUGGUAGCGUGUCCGCCCAGGGAUGGACGGGCCAGUGGCUGUUCAGAGGAAUUGUGACAUGCCGGUCACCCUUCGCCCUAUGCCACGUCUGCAUGUGAAGCGUGCUCAUUUCAUGCUGGGUAUGACAUUGAGCGUGCACCACUGGCACCAGACAGCACUGUGAUGGUGUGACAGAUUUGGUGCUGUAUAUAGUAUUAUAUGUUGAUACAGUGGAGAGGUUGUCCCCUUUUUGUCCCCCACCCCCUUCUUGAGGUCCUAGCUAGCUUCGGGGGUCAUCUUGUUAUCAGUAUAAUCAUGUCCAGAAAUGGGACAUAUUUAAAAGACUCCCUCAUCCAUGAUUCACAUCAAGAGACCCGGCUCUUCUCCCUCUCCUCAUGCCAGUGUCACACUGUGGGUUGUAAACGUUUCUGUAACUGUACUUGCAGCCCUGGAUGCCCACCUCUGCUUUGCCUGGAUGGGAGCUGGGGCACUGCCUGUGUUUUAGGCCAGUUUCUGUUAUUCCACGACAAGGAUAAAUAUGCUUCACCUGGAGAGGCUUCGUACCAUCAUUUCCAGAGCUUGCCCAUUGCUUGUGCUCUCGCUAAUUCUGUUAUCCAAAAAAGCGUACAUCUUUGUAUUAGAAGAUGGAAAGGGAUCAGUGACUAUAUUCCAAAUAAAUAGGAGUCAGUGAGGGCAACAUGCAAUUAGCCUAGUGGUGGCGAACCUGUGGCACACAUGCCACCGUGGCUGUUUGUAUUGUUGAAAGCUCUAAAAGGUUCGCCGUCACUGGAUUCGCCAGACCUGGGAGUGCUGUGUUGCUGAGGAGUGACAGCCGUUCUCUGCCAACUGGGCCCUCAGAAACUGUUUUGGCUUUGGCCUGUGCUUGCUUAGCUGACAUCAUUUUUAGGAUUUGAAUAUUUAAAAUCCCCAUUUCUAAACAGAGAUAACUUAAAGUAUUGAUACGAAGUUUUCCAAAUAAUCGGCAAGUUUUUUAUUUCAUAUUAUUUCUUCUAGGACCUACUUGUUCAGAUCUCCAAGCAAGUGUUCCUUUUCUUUUAGGGAUGUCUGAAAUCCAUAUCCUAUUUUUAAAAAUUAUCCCCAAAACUUUACUGUAUUCUUUUGAGGGAAAACU